CCAGUAGAUAAAGACGACUUGCCCAAAGCUCAGGAAACCAGGCAACAAUGACUAGGUCAACCCAAAUCCGACGAGUAAAUUGGGAAAGUAUUAAACGUAUUUCCAGAGCACAUUAACAUCAUUGUCACCCAUACAAAUAUUACGCAGGAAUGACUGGAAAAAGUGAAAACUGGGAGCUCCGAGACUGGAAUGAGGCGAGCAGGGAGACGGGAUUUCUUCAAGGGUGGUUGCCCCUCUCUGCUUCUUAGCCUGUGAUUUCUUUCUCUAUCACGUUACAGCAAAACCAGCAUCCCUUCAUCGUUUGAGAGAAGGGUUAAUUACACUGAGCGCCUCCUUUUUUUUCGACUGAGUCGAACCAAACGGGCCCUUGUAUUCAUAUUCCCUGGAAAACUUCCCAGGAGCUUUAGUUUGCGAGUUUAGGAAAGAAAAGAAAAGAAAGCAUCAAAAAGGCUGUGAUGAUUACUUUUCAUUCUCAGAAUCGGAGCAAGUUUUUCUUUUGCAGGGUAAUUUGAGGUGAACCGACCCGUAUCUUGGCAGGGCAACCCUGAUGGCCUGAAAAUGGGGGAUUCUUUCCCGUCUCCCUUUUGCAUGCAACUGGGUUUUUGCAGCCAUGGCGGUGUUUCUCUCCCUCUUUUGCUCUGAUGAAAGAUCUGAGCCAUUUUCUUUGAGGCGAAAUGAGGUAAUCAGAGAGAUUGGGAUUUUCUUGAAUUAAGGGUGGUUGCCCUUCUCUGUUUUGUAGUCUAUGAUAUCUUAGUUGCAUAAGUAAACAGCCCUUUGUGUUUUUUUGUUCAAGCGAGCGCUUUCGUGUAAUAGUUCUGAGCCAGUGUGCUUUUGAUGUUGAUGAUGAUGAUGAUGAUGAUGAUGAUGAUGAUGAUGGUGAAUUCAUAGUUGUUGUUGUUGUUGUUAGUGGUAGUGGUGGUGGUGGUGGUGGUAGUAAGUGGUAACACUACAACGAAAUGAGCAAAGAAAAUGAGAGAUGGAAAAAGAGGCUAUGAUGAUGCUAUCGUAGUAACAUUUCUUACGAGGAAAUGAACUAGCAUUGAUGGUAUAACCUGACCCGUGUCCUGGCGGGGCAACUGGAUGCAACUUUUGGUUUUGCAGCCAUGGCGGUGUCACAGUUCACAACGUCAUCAAUGCUUGAUGAAAUGCAAGUUCUGAGCCUUGUCUAUGCUAUUAUAGAGAUCAGGCAUGAUGCUAAUGGGACCGUAUCUUGGCAGGGCAACCCUGAUGAUAUGGGAUUUUCCCCACAUGCAACAGCGUUUGCAGCCAUGGCUGUUCCCCUUCCUCUUUGCCUGAUUUUGCUGCUCUACAUCUGAGCCUUUGUUUUGAUACAUGCGUGUAUGUGUGAGUUUUGUCCAAGAAAGGUGUUUGUUGCAACUUCUUUUCUGUUCAAAGUUGCUCUGGCAAGACAAAUAUUGCUCUGGAAUUAUGGUAACCCUUGAAUUGUUAGUUGCACUUGUAAAUUUAGUUCAAAAAUUGAUGCACCAUAGAGAUGGGAUUUCUUAAGGGUGGUUGCCUCUCUCUGUUUUUAGCCUAUGAUUUCUUUCUUCAUAUCAAAGAAGCCAACAGCCAUUGAGAGUUUAAAGCAAGGGUUAAUUGUACUUACCACCCUUUUGUCACUGAUGUGAACCAAAAGGCCCUCUUUAUUGAUAUAUCAUGGAAAACUUCCAAGCCUCUAGUUUUCCAGUUUGAAAAAGAAAUGAAAACAUCAAAAAAGCUGUGAUGAUUAUUUACUCUCCAAAUGGAGCAAGUUUUUCUUUUGCAGGCAUUUUGAGGUGAUCCAGAACAUAUCUUGGCUGGGAAACCAGAAUGAUUCCAACAGAAGAGUCUGGUAAGAUCUUGGCUGGGAAACCAGAAUGAUUCCAGCAGAAGAGUCUGGUAAGUAUCUCAGAUUUGCAGCCGCGGGAGCAUCUCUUGGUCUCUUUGCCUGAUCACAGACCAACACUAGUCUGUCCUCUUAGUGACCAAAAUGCAUUUUUCUUUCCUGGUAUGUAUCUCUCUUUAUCUAGACAAACUUUGUUCUUGUACAGAUCUGGGUGGAGCUGACGGGGUAACUCAGCUACUAGUUGUUUAUCAACCUAAGUUGGGUGAACCUCAGUUAGAUCCUCAUUACCCAUUCCUGUUGUUGCCUUAGACAGCAGUAGUGAAAUCAGGUUACUACUAUUGCUGGCAAAAUGUAAAGGGAUGGUCCACUAGGAAGUAUCUGAUCCACAAAAAUGAGGGUGCAAUUAUGCACUGCUAAUAGCUAGUAUUGAUUCAGAAGAUUAAAUAUUGAUCUUGGCAGGGAAAUUCUUUUCUAGAAGUAUUUUGAUGUUUGGUGGUUCAUAGGAUAUUGGAUUAUCAGCCAUGUUGGUAUUGUAUUGGGUAUCUCAUAUGCUUUGUUUCUCAACUUUGUUCUGAAUAUAGUCCAUCUUUAAAUUAAAAAGAUCAAAGAAAGAGCAAAAUUUUGUUCUGGUACUGCUUUUUCUUUAGUUCUAUUUUUGUGUAAGCUUUGGUGCUCAUCACUUUAGUCUAUCUUUCCAAACGUGUACUACAUUUUUUUUUUUGGACCUUUUGAGAUGGAUUCCUUCUGGACGUGAAAUGCAACAACAUUGCCAGUUAUGAAAACCAUACCUUUUUAAGAAAGGGGAUGGGAAAGAUACCUUGGAAAGAAAAGUAAGGGAAAAAUCUGAAGCUGCACGAAGAAAAGGCCAUUGGAGAAUAGGACAGGACUGAAAUCCACACUCAUUUUGUGCCUCUGGGAAAACAGUAGCAAUCCCAAAAAAGAUGCAAUGUCUUUGGCUAUUUCUAGCAUCAGCUGCUAACGCUGCAUGAGCUUCCUUGGCAGGUGCUGCAUUAGCUUCUUUGUCUGUGUGGUCUAGAGGGGGCUUUUUCUGCUACUUUUGCUAGGAGUUUUAAGGGAUGCAUUUGUUGGAUCUUAUGCCCUGAUCGUCCUCUCAUUGUUUCAGGGGUGGUAUGUACCAAUGGUAAUUCUCUUUUAAGAUUGUUUCACCUCUGCGAAUCAUCGCAGUUUAAAUAUAGGGUAAUGACCCAAGUUGAAGUACC